ACGGCCGGCGAGCGCUCGGUCGUCCUCGGCUUCGUUCGUCCUGCGGUCGGACCGGCUUCAAACCAGCCGCGCCGUCGAGCCGUCGAGCCGUCGUCCAGCCGUUUCGCCGCGCCCCGCGGCCGACUUCAAGGCAGUGAAGAUCGCUCGCUCUCUCUCUCUCUCUCCUCCCCUCUUCAUCCAUCGCGACGCGUUGCCUCGUCAUAUUGUAGUUAGGCGGCUCGUGUAUAAAGGCGUUACGCGGAACUUUCAGCGCGCGGGCCGACUCGAAAGUCUCGUUCGAGUCCGUCGUUCAACGAAUCCCCCGCCGAUGAUCCGUGUUACCCCCGUCGGAAUCGUCCAAGCAUCUCGAGUCGAACGGCGCGUAGCUUCGGUAAGAGUAAUAGUCGCGGGUCGCAUUUGGAGAUGUUCGGAAUAUCACGCCUGCAAUUUACAACGCUUGGACUUUGUAUUCGAUCCAUGUUAAACGGACACUUUCGCUCAGCGCGAUUCUCACUUUCUCCGAUGAUCUCGAGAUGUGAUCGGUAGCGACAAGAUUAGGCAGACGAUAAGAUUACAAGAACGAUUCGUCUGGACGAUGUCAAUUGCUGCUCCAUUGCUCUUCCCACAAUAUAGCACAUUGUAUGUCACAAGGUUCACUUCUAAAAAAGAUCCAGAGCGCCAAUAGAUCCGUCCACAGCAUAAAUUG